GGCGAACGCUGGCGGCGUGCCUUAGACAUGCAAGUCGUGCGAGGAUGCCUCUUUCGGGAGGCGUUCUAAGCGGCGAACGGCGGAGUAACACGUGGGUAACCUGCCCCGAAGACUGGGAUAACCCGGGGAAACUCGGGCUAAUACCGGAUGCGGAUGGCAUGGCGUCGGUCGUGUCAUCUAAAGGCGCAAGCCGCUUCGGGAUGGGCCCGCGGCCUAUCAGGUAGUUGGUGAGGUAACGGCUCACCAAGCCUGCGACGGGUAGCCGGUCUGAGAGGAUGGCCGGCCCGAGGGGCACUGAGACACGGGCCCCACUCCUACGGGAGGCAGCAUG
rnacentral:rRNA from 1 species